rnacentral:tRNA from 1 species
GGGGUUGUGGCUCAGUGGUAGAGUGCUCACCUAGCAUGUGAGAGGUCCUGGGUUUGAUCCUCAGUACCACA